AGUUUGCCGCUGACCAUGGGGGUGAGGAUGACCUCAAGCAGCACACUGCAACCGAUAUGUACAAGAAAGCAUCACAUUCUAAAGGUGCAACUAACAUUACCGAAUUCUUUGUUGCAAAUACCAAAAACAACAAAGUGGUGCCAGUGAACUUUCGUCGGUGUAUCAUACAAUUAAACAUGGCCUUAGUUACAACAUGAAUUGCAGCAAUAAGCUACAUGCUGAAAUGUUUCAUGACUCAAGCACAGCAAGUGAAAUGAGCUGCGCAAGAGCCAAAUGUGAACUUUUAGCAGUCCGUGUUCUUGGGCCGAAGUCUGUAAGGGAUAUUUUGGAGGACUUGUCAUUCUCAAAGCAAGGAGCUCCUGUAUUUUUCUUGGUUAUCACUGAUGCCUCAAAUAAGGAAAACAGAAAAGUGUUUCCAGUGUGUCUUUGGUACUUUACUGCUGAUGAAAUCCAGUGUAAACUCCUUGCUUUUUGUGAGGAUAGUGACAAAACAGCAAACGGCAUUCAUUGAGCUAUUAUGGACUGCCUCAAAAGACAUCAGCUGUAUUGCUGCAUACUCUGCGGACAAUGUUAAUGUGAAUUAUGGGAGACAUCAUUCUGUUUACCAGUUGUACAAUGAAAACAACCAACAUCUUGAAAGCAAAUUGUCCAACCUAUAUAUAUAUCAACACAUACAAACAUGUGUAGGACCAGUUGUCCAUUGCUAUUGAGUCUGUAGAUUUUCAACACAAUAAUCACUACUUCUCUCCAGACCUAUUUUACUGGGUAAGUUAAAACAUUAAAAAGAACUACAACAAAGAACAGACAUUUUGAUGUAUAAACAUCAGCUUCAGUGUUCUAUUUCCCACUGUUUAAAAUCCACACUCUUAUAUCUGAAACUUUAAUCACAACAAUAAUCACUUUUCAGCAUUUGCCCCUCAGCAAGAAGAACUGCAGCUUCUUUGCUUUCGUUGAUCGUGAGUGGAGAGAUAACUUGUAUCAUGUCAGUACUAGAUGGCUCUCUCUCUAUCCUGGAUGUCAAUCACCUGUUGCAAAAUUUGCUGGCGAUUUCUUCCUACUUCAGGUCACUUGGAGAUUCUUGCCCUGUUAGGUUAAAGAGUGUUUUUACAGAGGAUGAGGAGCAAACACACAUUGUGAAGAUCUACCUGUAUUUUUUCCAAAACAGGUGCCAUUUUUGGUCAACGUUUUGUAAAUGUUUGUGCAUUCAGAAGUCUGCAUCACUGAAGUAUAUGCAGAAAUGUGCAGAUUUAAAGCAAAAAUGUGUGACUGAUUUGGGGGGGGGGGGGGAUUCCAGACCAAACAGUUGAUAGCCAAAGCAAAAGGCAAAACAGUUGAUUACUGCCAGAGCAAAAGGCAAAGCUGGAGCAGGACUUAAUUAGGUUCUAUGACUGUCAUUACAUAUAUUGACAUAUAGUUUGAUUUCUCCACUGAUAAUGUGAUGAUGAAGCUCCAACUGACUGAAAUGAUCAACACUGACCAGAUGUGUGAAGAAUUCUGUAUAAGCCGUGAUGAGAUCAAGUAGACAAGAAUUGACUCUACCAAAUCAGCUAGUGAAAAAUAGGUGGCUACUUUUCAGAAAGCUGGGAAAGAGAACAUGAAAAACUUAUUCUAGAUUGUGUUGUUGAUCCUGGCAUACUGAGAACCAAAUGGAUUUAUGGAGAGGAUAUUUUCAUUGAUGGGCAGCAAAUGGUCAGAUGCAAGGAACAGAUGCUGUGUUGACCUGAUAAAAAGCAAGCUGCAGGUCUUGACCAGCUUUAAUAUGUCCUGUGAGGACUUUUAUUACUCCGUGCAAAAGGAAAAGGAGCUGUUGAAAGCUGUGAAGAGCAGCAAGAAAUACCCAUGGAGAAAAUAGGAUUCUGCUAUGAGGUGGUGUUUGUGGACUCCAUUUGAUUGUCAAAGAAUGGAUGAAGAACACUGUCUUAUUUGCAAAGAAAUACUUGGUGGUGAUUGUGCAGAAAUGUCUGAAAAAGGGAUGCAUGGCAUCGUCGGGGUGUACAAACUCACAGGUACAAAGCUGCUUCUUCCAAAAGCAACAGGGCACUGUCUAUGGAAACCAGUGAGGCAUCUCUGCAGGGAUGUUUCCCCCAGGUUCUGCUGACUCAGAUACUGCCCAUCUCUGUACGCAACCAUUCAUAUCUUCCAUUGCACCUUGUGAGCCUGGCCUGGGAGAGUAUAUUAGAGAAGGAGCCCAGAGCGGUGUACUACAUACUUGAGUUUCUCCUCACAACAACCUGUGAAGUAGGUUAGGCAGAGAGAGAAGUGACUGGCCCAGAGUCACCCAGCAAGUCUCAUGGCUGAAUGGGGAUUUGAACUCGGAUCUCCCCGGUCCUAGUCCAACAGCACUCUAACCACUACACCACGCUGGCUCCUUGUUCCCGGACCAUUCACUGGUCCUUGGAAAGGAUGCACUGCCUAGAGAGAGAGAGAUCAGGCACUAUAUACAUAUGAUAAACAAACAAACAAAAUCAACCAACCAAUCAAUCAAUCACACAAGAAUGAAAGUAUCCAGUAGAUGGAUUCUUUUGUCUUCAGUCAAUGACAAAAUUGCAUAGGACCACAAAGGAGACUUAAGAUGAGAGUUGCAGUUAUUCUUGACCAAUUACAGCAGGAGAUGAGGGAGCCACGUACUAUAUCCCUAGGCUCUAUUCCCAGUUCCAUAAAGGUGCAGAGAACAUAAUGGUUAAAGCUGGAGACUUUGUAUCUGUCACCAUCUUUAGGGGUGCAACAAUAUAAGUGGAAAAUCAGACAUCAAGACCUAGCAAUGGCUUAAGAAUGACAACUUGAAGAAAGAAACAGAGGGUUUAAUACUGGCUGCACAAGAACAGGCACUACGAACAAAUGCAAUAAGAGCAAAAGUCAAAAAACCCACAACAAACAGCAAGUGCCGCCUUUGUAAAGAAGCAGAUGAAACAGUGGACCACCUAAUUAGCUGUUGUAGAAAGAUCGCACAGACUGACUACAAACAAAGGCAUGACAAAAUAGCAGGGAUGAUACACUGGAACAUCUGCAAAAAAUACAAACUACCUGUAGCCAAACAUUGGUGGGACCAUACAUUUGAAAAAGUUGUAGAAAAUGAAGAUGCAAAAAUAUUAUGGGACUUCCGACUACAAACAGACAAGCAUCUGCCACACAAUACACCAGAUAUAACUGUAGUCGAGAAGAAAGAAAAACAAGUUAAAAUAAUCAACAUAGCAAUACCAGGGGAUAGCAGAAUAGAAAAAGAAAUAGAAAAAAUCCCAAAAUACAAAGAUAUUGAAAUUGAAAGACUGUGGCAGAAGAAGACCAAAAUAAUCCCAGUGGUAAUUGGCGCCCUGGGUGCAGUUCCAAAAGACCUUGAAGAGCACCUCAACACCAUAGGGGCCACAGAAAUCACCAUCAGCCAAUUACAAAAAGCAACUUUACUGGGAACAGCCUAUAUCCUGCGACAAUAUCUAUAACAACAGCAACAACACUGAUAAUACAAUUCAGCCAUCCCAGGUCCUUGGGAAGGACUCGAUGUCUGGAUAAAACAAACCAGUCAAUAACACCUGUCUGACUGUGUAAAUAAAUAAAUAAAUAAAUAAAUAAUACAGAAUA